rnacentral:rRNA from 1 species
CAGUAGCCGCGGUAAUACGUAGGGUGCGAGCGUUAAUCGGAAUUACUGGGCGUAAAGCGUGCGCAGGCGGUUCGUUAAGACAGAUGUGAAAUCCCCGGGCUUAACCUGGGAACUGCAUUUGUGACUGGCGAGCUAGAGUAUGGCAGAGGGGGGUAGAAUUCCACGUGUAGCAGUGAAAUGCGUAGAGAUGUGGAGGAAUACCGAUGGCGAAGGCAGCCCUCUGGGCCAAUACUGACGCUCAUGCACGAAAGCGUGGGGAGCAAACAGGAUUAGAUACCCCCGUAGUCCCUGUCUCUUAUAC